GACGAACGCUGGCGGCGUGCCUAAUACAUGCAAGUAGAACGCUGAAGAGAGGAGCUUGCUCUUCUUGGAUGAGUUGCGAACGGGUGAGUAACGCGUAGGUAACCUGCCUGGUAGCGGGGGAUAACUAUUGGAAACGAUAGCUAAUACCGCAUGAUAUUAAUUAUUGCAUGAUAAUUGAUUGAAAGAUGCAAUUGCAUCACUACCAGAUGGACCUGCGUUGUAUUAGCUAGUUGGUGAGGUAACGGCUCACCAAGGCGACGAUACAUAGCCGACCUGAGAGGGUGAUCGGCCACACUGGGACUGAGACACGGCCCAGACUCCUACGGGAGGCAGCAGUAGGGAAUCUUCGGCAAUGGGGGGAACCCUGACCGAGCAACGCCGCGUGAGUGAAGAAGGUUUUCGGAUCGUAAAGCUCUGUUGUAAGAGAAGAACGGGUGUGAGAGUGGAAAGUUCACACUGUGACGGUAUCUUACCAGAAAGGGACGGCUAACUACGUGCCAGCAGCCGCGGUAAUACGUAGGUCCCGAGCGUUGUCCGGAUUUAUUGGGCGUAAAGCGAGCGCAGGCGGUUAGAUAAGUCUGAAGUUAAAGGCUGUGGCUUAACCAUAGUAUGCUUUGGAAACUGUUUAACUUGAGUGCAGAAGGGGAGAGUGGAAUUCCAUGUGUAGCAGUGAAAUGCGUAGAUAUAUGGAGGAACACCGGUGGCGAAAGCGGCUCUCUGGUCUGUAACUGACGCUGAGGCUCGAAAGCGUGGGGAGCAAACAGG
rnacentral:rRNA from 1 species